rnacentral:rRNA from 1 species
ACCCGGGAACUGCGUCCGAUACUGGCAGGCUUGAAUCCGGGAGAGGGAUGCGGAAUUCCAGGUGUAGCGGUGAAAUGCGUAGAUAUCGUAAGGAAGACCAGUGGCGAAGGCGGGUCUCUGGACAGUUCCUGACGCUGAGGCACGAAGGUCAGGGGAGCAAACGGGAUUAGAUACCCCGGUAGUCCUGACAGUAAACGGUGCACGUUUGGUGUGGGAGGAUUCGACCCCUUCUGCGCCGGAGCUAACGCGUUAAACGUGCCGCCUGGGGAGUACGGUCGCAAGAUUAAAACUCAAAGAAAUUGACGGGGGCCCGCACAAGCGGUGGAGUAUGUGGCUCAAUUCGAUGCAACGCGAAGAACCUUACCAGGCCUUGACAUGCAUCUCUAAGCUGGUGAAAGCCAGCGAGUCC